AUGGCGAUGCACACCAAGGCGGCGCCGCCGCAGAUCCCGGACACCCGGCGCGAGCUGGCCGAGCUGGUGAAGCGGAAGCAGGAGCUGGCGGAGACACUGGCAAACCUGGAGAGGCAGAUCUACGCUUUUGAAGGAAGCUACCUGGAGGAUACCCAGAUGUAUGGCAAUAUUAUCCGUGGCUGGGACCGGUAUCUGACAAAUCAAAAGAACUCCAACAGCAAAAACGAUCGGAGGAACAGAAAAUUCAAGGAAGCCGAGCGACUCUUCAGCAAAUCUUCGGUCACUUCAGCAGCAGCGGUCAGUGCGUUGGCUGGAGUGCAAGACCAGCUCAUUGAAAAGAGAGAACCGGGCAGCGGGACGGAGAGCGACACCUCUCCGGACUUCCACAAUCAAGAGAACGAGCCCAGCCAAGAGGACACAGAGGAGCUCGACGGGUCCGUGCAGGGCGUCAAACCCCAGAAAGCUGCUUCUUCCACCUCCUCUGGCAGCCACCACAGCAGCCAUAAAAAACGGAAGAAUAAAAACCGGCACAGCCCGUCUGGCAUGUUUGAUUAUGACUUUGAGUAAGUUUGAUUUGAAUUAGUACUUGUGCUGUGUUGUUUAGUGUAUAGACGCCGAUAUGCCUUUUUGAGACCUUUCUAACCCAUAGUUUAUCUGUUUAAUUGUAGGUAUGUAUAUUAGGUUAGGCUGGGAAGUUUUUUUUAAAAACAGAGAAACGUGAUGGAGGAUUGACCUGAAGUUAAACAAAAAGCCGAGAGCCGAAUAUUAGAAGACCCGUUAGUGCAAAAGCUUCCAGAUUUUAGAGCCCUCCCCAUACCACCUCACCCAGACGAAACACCCACCCGUCAACCGCGUGAACGUUGUCAGCUUCCCCGGCGCCGGCCCCGGCACGGGGGAGCGGUUUGUGUCGGGGCGGAGCGGAGGGACCGAGCUGCUCUGUAAGACGUCGGCCUGUUUUUGUCCCCGUGUCAUUUUUAGUAACUGAAACGUAGCAAGAUCGAAGCGCGAUUUCAGUUCCCUUCCCCUCGCGUGGCUAGUUGGCCCCGGGGGUCCCCUAGCCGGCCGCUCGGGCCCUGCCCGCCGUCGGCUUGGCCGGCUGGGGGUGGGCACCCCAGUCAGGAAGCGUUCUCUCUUUUUCCUUUAGACUGAAAUGGGAGUGUAAUUGAAUGGGUCGGCCUGAUUCUGUAAAUAUCAGACUUUUUUUAUUAUUAUUAUUAUUCUGAUUUGUGUUUUAUCUGUGGCCAUCAUCCCCCCCCCCCCUUUUUUUUUUUUUGGAAACACCCAUGUAGAGUUUACCAUCCCUUUCCCCCUCCCGCCCUCUGGAUUUCGUUUAGCCCGAAAUACUCUUUCCUCUUUAUUUUGCUUAGUAUCUCACUUGAAUUCUUACACUGAGGAUUUCUUUGAGUAGCAAAUAAAGCGGAUGACUGUCGUUCCCCCUCCCCAUUUUAAUUUUUUUUUCUUUUUAGGGUGCGGGGAGCAGAGGGUUUGAGGGAGAAUUUUAAAUCGACCUUAGUUUGUUACGAAGUGGAAAGGAUUCUGGUGUACAGAUAUUACCUAGAGACCAUGAGUUUGAUUCCUUUUUUAAAUAGAAAUCUAUCAUUUUGUAUAAAAAAUAAAAUCUCGCAGGUUUCA